rnacentral:sRNA from 1 species
UUGUGAUUUUGUUACACCUUUUCUGCUGUUAGAUUUGUUGUAUUUACAGGUUGUGUUGCUUUUGAUCUUGCUGAGUAAAUGUACUGUCUUCAUUAAUCCCAUCGUCAUGGCCGUUUUUCCCAUCUUCUUCACCAAAGUCUGAGACGCCUCAAAGUGUGGAUGCGGCUUUUAGGCUUACCAGUAGUAUCAUUGGACUUGGUUAUAACUAAUAUGUGCUUAUCUUGACAGUAUGUAAUUGUGAACAUCUGUUCCCAGGGUUCACCAUUUUUGCAUUUUUAGGGAUGCCAUACAAGGCUAUAUAUUGAUGCCUCGGCUCCCUCACUUAAACGGCCAUGGCCCAUUCAGCCAAUAAAAAGAAUUCAGUAUGAACAAGC